ACUGCUUCCUUAGGGUUUUAUUAACCCUUCCGCGCCGCCGUUUUCAAGAACUCCCCAUGGCUUUAAUCGCCGUCCUAGCCUCCGAUCGUGACGGAAAAUGGAGCAGAACGCGAUAAGACCGAGUACAUGCUUGGAGGAGCACAUGCGCGCCAUUUGCGGCGGCGUGCGAGGGUGAGAUUGCUGCGGCGGCUACUAGGGUUUCUGCUAUACCCUUUGUGUUUUUUGGGCUAGCAGAUUAGGGUUUACUUUUUUCAAAUGAGAUUAAACAAUUAAAGAUGAAAAUUAAAUAAAACUAUUAUAUUGUGAAUAUUCUUACACAACUAAAUGGGUAAAAUGUAUACAACUCCUAAGCGUUGUAUUAAUUAUAUUUUAGAAUAAUUAAA